rnacentral:lncRNA from 1 species
GGACAUCUAGAAAAGAAACAAGAGACAAAGGAAUUAAGGGGAGUCACAAAGAAAUAUGGAACUCUUAAAUCUUAGAUUCUCUUGGGUUGCUGCCCCUCGUCCAGCGAUGGCAGUGAGGUCAGAAGUGUAUGCACUUCUGAGGAUGCACGUGCAGGCUCGCUGGACAGCCAAGGAGAGUCUGCAGGAAGAAGGACGAUUAAACGUGUCAGGAGCAUCUAAUACGAAGGUAACAAAACUCAGAUAUUGGAAACAUUGCACAGUGCUGCCUUGGAAUCUAUGGGGUUUACUUUUUGAGAAAACCUUCAUAGUUCUAAUUAUGAAAUAUCAAGCCACUGCGCCCCACAGAAAAUCAGGGCUAGACCUUGAACCUUCUGCUGGAGACCCCCAGAAAGACACAUAUUGUGUUAACGCUGCCCAACAGCCACAGCCCACGCAAGCACUGUGGGAUUUACCACUGAGAAGAGCGGAGGAGAAAACAGAUAUCGACAUGCAGUAAAAAUUACAUUUUUACAGUAAAUUACAUUUCGAUAUCAGUUCCAGGGAAGACAAAUCUAAAUUGUUAUAAGUUGGCUUACUUUUCCUCCAACCUUUUGCCAUUUCCCCCCUUUUUAAAAANAGCCUUGGCUUGCCCGAGGCUUGGUUCCAACUGGCUAGGCUAGCUGCUGGACUUCCAGUUNGGGUUCUUGAGAAAGAACUCNUUCNAGUCCAAGUCCCUCCAAAGGGAAGUUUAAGAGCUUUCCCCAAAGUUCCUCCUAAGCACUUAAAACAUCCCUGUCUGCCAUAAAGCCUUACUUUGUCUUCUGCCGUCAGCAUCCAUCCUUCUCNGCUUUAACCGUUUUCAGCCAUUUCCGUUCUUCUUCUUCAUCCUCUUUGCUCACAGUCGCGUCCUGUCAUAGUUUCGUCUUCCAACGUGGAAUGAUCUUCCCAGGUGACCUGCUUGAAGUCUUGGCAGCUUCCUCUUCNUUAUAGGUUCCAUCAGGCUUCNUCCAGUUGGGUCUUUUUCCCAGCAGNUUUUAUUUAUUUCCCUUUCUGCCUGAUCUAUUCUCACUNCCUGCCUAUGCCUCUUUGUCCCAAAUGCUUCGAAAAUGCNCUUUUGUGGGCCAUGGGCAAAACCAGGGUACNUCCUAGCCUUGAAGGCCAGUGACUGGGUGUCUGCCAGUCCCAAAUNGAGCCCAGCAGAAUUUACAAGGCACACCAGUCAUAUCUACCCAGAUGCAAACCUCACUGGGCUAAGCAGAGUCAACAGGUAGAGGGUCGUCUUAAAACUCUCUCUACCAGUCCUUCCCUGUCCAUUUAAAACCACCUAAAGAGAGACUUAAAGGUGGUAUAAAGUCUUAGGCCUGAAGUCCUGGGCAUAAAGCCCAAAUUUAAACAGAGAGAAGUUGGAAUGAUGUUCUAAUAUAGCAAGAGGCAUUUACCAAUAUAAACGAGCCAGCCCUUGAAGGGCAAAUAAAUGCAUCGUUUACAGAUGACA